GGCAUUGAUAUUUUCUUUAGAAAAUAUACCCGAGUGAUCAGGUGAAUCUUCCGUGGAGUUUCUUGACCCGCCAUCGAGCAACCGCCGCCCCACGUCCACAGACCCUCUACAAUCACCUUCUGUUUGCAAGGCCGUGAUAACCGAUUUCAAUGCCCGACUCGGCGAAUUCCGGUUCGCAAUCAUGAGCUCACCUAUCUCCGCCGGACUCAGACUCGCUCCGGUUUGGAAAAUUUCCUCUACUUGAGGAAACAGCUUGUGAUUCUUCACUCCCAAGUAGCUAUUCGCCAAUGUCCUGAAUGCUGAGAAAUCGCAUAACGGAAAAUGGAUAUGGACGUCAAUUCGACCCGGUCUAAGGAUAGCCGGGUCGAUGUGAUCUUUGCUAUUCACUGUAAAAACCAUAAUUCUCUCCUCCGCACAGCAAGAAUUUAAAAUCCCAUCCAUGAAGUUUAAAACACCUGAUAAGCUUACAGCCGUUGACUUGCCCAUCAGAAACCGAUCGAGGUCUUCUACCACAAUCACGGACUUGGUUGUGGUUUGUAGCAGGAGCAAUUUGAGAUCAGAAUCGCCUAAAACUCUGGAAAGAUCGAUGUCAUACACAUCGUAGCCAAGAAAAUUGGCCAUGGCAGCAACAAAGCUGGAUUUUCCAGUACCUGAUGGCCCGUACAAGAGAUAGCUCCGUCGCUUCCACGCGCGACCCAACCUGUGAUAGUAUUGUUUGGCCUUGAGGAAAGACUCCAGAUCUGACUUUAACUUGUUUUUGAGAUCGGAUUCCAUGGCAAUUGUUUCAAACGUUGAAGGAUGAGUAAAGAGAACAAAUCUCCACCGUCUGUUCUGAUUUUGAUCACUGUUGAUAUUCAUGUAAAGCUUCAAUUCUCUCUUCUUCUUCUGCUCGAGCUCGUCGAAAACUGUGUGGAUCUGCUGGAGAUAAGGCCGGAGAAUUCUUCGCUUAUCGGCUUUUCUGAUCUUCAAAACGAAAGCUCUAGAAUGGGUUGUAUCUGUUUUCACUUCGUUUAUCCAAGAAACUCUAGCUCCAAGGAAAUCAUCAUCGAUUACCUGACUAGGGUCGAGGCGGAGUAUGAUAUCAUUGGAUUUUUUUCCGGUGAAGAGGUUGGUAUAAUUGGAGUCCUCCAUGGAAGCCAGAGAGUUUAGAUAAACAGAGACUUUGGAAUAAAGCUGAUU
rnacentral:misc_RNA from 1 species